UACGGAGGGAGCUAGCGUUGUUCGGAAAUACUGGGCGUAAAGCGCACGUAGGCGGCGCAGCAAGUCAGGGGUGAAAUCCCGGGGCUCAACCCCCGGAACUGCCUCUGAAACUGCAGUGCUAGAAUCUUGGAGAGGCGAGUGGAAUUCCGAGUGUAGAGGUGAAAUUCGUAGAUAUUCGGAAGAACACCAGUGGCGAAGGCGACUCGCUGGACAAGUAUUGACGCUGAGGUGCGAAAGCGUGGGGAGCAAACAGG
rnacentral:rRNA from 1 species